rnacentral:rRNA from 1 species
UCUUUGUACACACCGCCCGUCGCUACUACCGAUUGAAUGGCUUAGUGAAUCCUUCGGAGUGGUCUAUUUGAGCCGGCAACGGCACAUUUGGACUGCAAAGUUGGGUAAACUUGGUCAUUUAGAGG